ACGCUCGACACCUACGGGAGUCAGCAGUGGGGAAUAUUGCACAAUGGGGGAAACCCUGAUGCAGCAACGCCGCGUGAAGGAAGACGGUUUUCGGAUUGUAAACUUCUGUUCUUAGUGAAGAUAGUGACGGUAGCUAAGGAGCAAGCCACGGCUAACUACGUGCCAACAGCCGCGGUAAUCUGAGCGGGCUGGCAAGGC
rnacentral:rRNA from 1 species